rnacentral:rRNA from 1 species
UACGUAGGGGGCUAGCGUUGUCCGGAAUCAUUGGGCGUAAAGCGCGCGUAGGCGGCCCGGUAAGUCUGCUGUGAAAGUCAAAGGCUCAACCUUUGAAUGUCAGCGGAUACUGCCGGGCUAGAGUCCGGAAGAGGCGAGUGGAAUUCCUGGUGUAGCGGUGGAAUGCGCAGAUAUCAGGAGGAACACCAACGGCGAAGGCAGCUCGCUAGGACGGUACUGACGCUGAGGCGCGAAAGCGUGGGGAGCGAACAGG